UAGUCCACGCCGUAAACGAUGUGUGCUAGAUGUCGGGUCCAUAGGAUUCGGUGUCGCAGCUAACGCACUAAGCACACCGCCUGGGGAGUACGGUCGCAAGAUUAAAACUCAAAGGAAUUGACGGGGGACCCGCACAAGCGGUGGAGCAUGUUGUUUAAUUCGACGCAACGCGAAGAACCUUACCUACACUUGACAUACUCGUCGGGGAUUACAGAGAUGUUUUCCUUCGGUUCGGCCGGACGAUGUACAGGUGCUGCACGGCUGUCGUCAGCUCGUGUCGUGAGAUGUUUGGUUAAGUCCAGCAACGAGCGCAACCCCUAUCGUAUGUUACCAGCAUUUAGUUGGGGACUCAUGCGAGACUGCCGGUGUUAAGCCGGAGGAAGGUGGGGACGACGUCAAGUCAUCAUGGCCCUUACGCUCUGGGCUACACACGUGCUACAAUGGUCGUGACAAAGAGUUGCUAGUCUGCGAAGGCAAGCCAAUCUCAUAAACGCGGCCUUAGUUCGG
rnacentral:rRNA from 1 species